GACGGGGGGGCAAGUGUUCUUCGGAAUGACUGGGCGUAAAGGGCACGUAGGCGGUGAAUCGGGUUGAAAGUGAAAGUCGCCAAAAAGUGGCGGAAUGCUCUCGAAACCAAUUCACUUGAGUGAGACAGAGGAGAGUGGAAUUUCGAUGUGUAGGGGUGAAAUCCGUAAUAUACGAAGGAACGCCAAAAGCGAAGGCAGCUCGUCUGGGUCC
rnacentral:rRNA from 1 species